GAGCAACCUCUACUAUAAGGGUUAGAGUGUGGUGGAAGACAACCACUAGUCUUACUAAACCUUCGGCUUACCUCUGACUCCAUCACCAUCUCCAAGUCGACAUUACAUUCUGCUAUCAAUCCGUUGCAUUGUACUAUUGCAUCACUUGUCAUAGACAGAGAAACAUCAAGACAAAGAAGGCAA